ensembl:lncRNA
AGGAGAGAGAGAUGGAGACGUGGGGAGAGAGAGAUGGAGACGUGGGGAGAGAGAGAGAGAUGGAGACGUGGGGGAGAGAGAGAUGGAGACGUGGGGAGAGAGAGAUGGAGACGUGGGGAGAGAGAAAGAGAUGGAGACAUGGGGAGAGAGAGAAGAAGAGGUGGGGGAGAGAGAGAGUUGUGGAGAGGUGGGGAGAGAGAGAUAUGGAGAGGUGUGGGAGAGAGAGAGAUGGAGAGGUGUGGGAGAGAGAGAGAUGGAGAGGUGGGGAGAGAAAGAGCGAUGGAGAUGUGGGGAGAGAGAGAGAUGGAGACAUGGGGAGAGAGAGAGAGAUAUGGAGAGGUGGGGUGGGGAGAGAGAGAGAUGGGAGAGAGAGAGAGAGAUGGAGACGUGGGGAGAGAGAGAGAUGGAGAGGUGGGGAGAGAGAGAUGGAGAGGUGGGGGAAAGGAGAAAUGGAGACGUGGGGAGAGAGAGAUAUAUGGAUAGGUGGGGAGAGAGAUAUGGAGAGGUGGGGAGAGAGAGAGAGAGAGAUGGAGACAUGGGGAGAGAGAGA